rnacentral:rRNA from 1 species
UCUGGCGGCUUUAGCGCGGUGGUCCCACCUGACCCCAUGCCGAACUCAGAAGUGAAACGCCGUAGCGCCGAUGGUAGUGUGGGGUCUCCCCAUGCGAGAGUAGGGAACUGCCAAAC